UAGUUCCUGCUUGGCAGUGCCACUGCUACUCUCUCUUCCUGGUAUGCUGAGGCACACCAUAGCAACAGGAAGAGGGGACGAGAGGGAAGGGGGAAAGCCCUUCUCAUCUCAGCAGGAACAACUUGGUUGCUUCCCCACCAUCACUGAGAAAGGGCCAGCACAAGCUCUGCCAUGAGGAGCUGUAAUAAAACAUCUGUCUCAAUCGUCUCUUUAAAGAUCAUCAAAGUGUUGUAAAAACAAAGUUACACAAGCAAUUUCAAUGAGCAGGUGUCAAAAUGCCUUUGGGUUCACCUUGCCAGGGUUCCCCUCUUCUUUCCUCAACAUCCCUUACAUUCCAGCAGCUACACACGUGAGCUUCCUGAUGCAAUGAUACCUGGAAACCUGCAGUUUUGCAAGAGGUUCUGGGCUUUUUGAUCCUGGAGAGAGAACAUUUGGUACAAGAAGGAACUUCCUGUUGGGCUGUAAACAAUCUUUCUUCCCUCUUUCACAACAAUGGGAUGUUUGGACAGCUGAGGUGGCAGAGGCAGCAGUUUGGUUCCCAGGAAGAAGAAGCUGCAAAGCAAAACUGCUUCUCUGGGUUGUGUUCCUUGGAACUGCAUAACUUGGGCUGUGCUGGAAAUGGUCAAAUGUUUACCCAGACAAAAAUAAAUGAAGAUCUUGACACUGGCAUGAGUUAUGUCUGGAAAGUUGCAGUUGCCAGACCAUUUUCAAAGGCAGCCCCAUGAACAAUGCAUUGCAGC